rnacentral:rRNA from 1 species
UACGGAGGGUGCAAGCGUUAUCCGGAUUCACUGGGUUUAAAGGGUGCGUAGGUGGGCAGGUAAGUCAGUGGUGAAAUCUCCGGGCUUAACCCGGAAACUGCCAUUGAUACUAUCAGUCUUGAAUACCGUGGAGGUAAGCGGAAUAUGUCAUGUAGCGGUGAAAUGCUUAGAUAUGACAUAGAACACCAAUUGCGAAGGCAGCUCGUUACACGAAUAUUGACACUGAGGCACGAAAGCGUGGGGAUCAAACAGG